CCUACGGGAGGCAGCAGUGAGGAAUAUUGGUCAAUGGGCGGGAGCCUGAACCAGCCAAGCCGCGUGAGGGAAGAAGGUACAGCGUAUCGUAAACCUCUUUUGUCAGGGAACAAAGGCGGGGACUCGUCCCCGGAUGAGGGUACCUGAAGAAAAAGCAUCGGCUAACUCCGUGCCAGCAGCCGCGGUAAUACGGGGGAUGCGAGCGUUAUCCGGAUUUAUUGGGUUUAAAGGGUGCGCAGGCGGCCUGUUAAGUCAGCGGGAAAAGCCCGGGGCUCAACCCCGUCGAGCCGUUGAAACUGGCGGGCUGGAGUGGGAGAGAAGUACGCGGAAUGCGCGGUGUAGCGGUGAAAUGCUUAGAUAGCGCGCAGAACCCCGAUUGCGAAGGCAGCGUACCGGCUCCAAACUGACGCUGAGGCACGAAAGCGUGGGUAUCGAACAGGAUUAGAUACCCGUGUAGUC
rnacentral:rRNA from 1 species